GUGUCAUUUGCUGGCUGCACAAGAAUGGGGGGAUCGCACAGAGACACGGGGUGGCAGGUGGCGAAGCUGAACCGCCUCAGAAACAGGACCGUUGAGAAGCGGGGCAAGAGCGGCCUCCGUGGUGCUUGACGAACUUGCAGACCCCGUGGAGGCUCGAGGGGGAACAAUCUUCCCCAGGCCCCGAGGCUAGAGAUGGGUGACACCAGGCCCAGUGGGUGGAGGAGAGGAGCCUUAGGGUGCGACGGAGUAAAACAGUAGUCCGAGCUUUCCGCCCAAGGCCAUCAGCUUCGAGUUGCAGACACGGCACGACUUGACAGGAGAUGAAAAACUGCACCUGGGGAACUCGGCUCUGGCUCGGCUUUGUUUCACUGUGUACCCUCCGGCCGAGCCCUUCCUUUGUCAGUGCCUCAGUCUGCCCCAUGAUAGGGUCAGAUGGAGUGAUCUCCCCUGGUCCUUCCUGGUUUAACAGGAACAAAUUUCUGGUUUGAAUGCUGCUUUCAAAGAGGAGACUGGCCCCCUCCUGGCCGCCUGUUAAUCAGAGCUCUUAUCUUCAAUCUAAGCCAGUGUUAUCUGUAUAUUCUUUUGUUGGGCAAAGAAUCAAUCCUCUUUCCCCACAGUUGAAUCCAUGAAACAAAGGAUCUCAAAUUCAAAUGCCCAAACCAUUAGCCUUUCUCUUCUGCUCCCAAGGUUGCUCUGUGUUGCCUUGCAGCUCUGCAAAUCCUUCUACAAAGGAAGAGAACAGAAGAACACUUGAAUGGGACUGACCAGCCUCCAAUCCAUCUCUCCUACUUACCAGCUGAGUGACCUUGGUCAAGUGAACUAUAAUCUUUUAUCUGGGUUUCCUCAUCUGUAAGAUGGGAAUGAUAGCUGUACCCUUCUCAUGAGGUCACACAUCUUGACUGGCACAUGGUCAACAAGCAGUGAUAUGAAGAAGGCUCUAACUGGAAGAGCUGCUAUGAGCACAGAUGUGGGUGUUUAGCUGCAUACUGUCCAAAUAAAUGUAAGGCAUGAAUGUGAGUCGAAGGAAAUGACAAGAACACAGACUCAUUUGAAGAGGUCUGUCUCUCUUCUUUGUCUUAAGGCCAAACUCUGUGUUUGUUCCUAGUUCCAUUCCCUUCCUAUCUCUUCUAGAACCUUGUCUCUAUAAUUAUCCUGACCCUCAUGACAAGCAUACAUCUAUUGGUUUUUUCUUUCUAUGAAAUAUACACAGGCCUUUCCUAUCUUGGAGAACAUCCUUUAUUUGAUCCUCCAGUGUUUUUCAGCUCCUAUUUCAUUCUCUCCGCUGUCAGAUUUCUUAAUUAACACACACAUUGCCUCCCAUUCCUUCCUGACUCUUUCACUUUUCAGCUGCCUCCCAGCUUCCAUCGCUGUUCUUCUGACACAACUGUCACCAGUUGUGUCACCAGGGUCAUUAAAGACCACCCCAUUAACCACCUGUGGGCCUCUGUUCAGUCAGCCUCCUUGACCCAGAGCAUUUGACUCAGUUGACCAUCCACUCCUUAACUCUCACAUACCAAACUGCUUUAUCAUCUCUCUUUCUUAUUUCUGUCAACUGUAUCAUUUUCCCCAACCAUUCAGGAAUAAACCUUGAACUCAGGGUUCGUUCAGCUCCUUUCUCUGCCCACCCCCACAUUACUUUUGAGUCUUACUGCAAAUAUUAGAAACUCGUUGAAGCUAGCUUUUUAGAAAAGUCUAAUCAGAAUAUGGAGGAGUGGGGGACAGCUAAUGGAGCCCCAAAGACAGGAUGCAGCUGGAGCCCAGGAAAGCCCAGGACUGUAGACUUGGAGUCAAUGAACUGAGUUCUCUCUCUCCAGAUUUCUCCAGGAGACUUUGGGGAUGAUCUGCACUCCAGAGUGUCAGACACACCCACACCCAGCUGGUCACAAGUCCUGUAAAAAUGGCCAUCUUUUGUGUCAGGUCCUUGAAUCUGUCUCCUCUCCAGCUUCCCUUGUACUCGAUCGCCUGUGUUUGUUUACCUCCUGAUUAUUGUUGCUGCCAUUGCUUCUUCCUCCUGACACUGAGUAACAGCAUUGACCACAUUUCAG
ensembl:lncRNA